rnacentral:rRNA from 1 species
CUACGGGUUGCAGCAGUGAGGAAUUUUGCGCAAUGGGGGAAACCCUGACGCAGCAACGCCGCGUGAGCGAAGAAGGCCUUCGGGUCGUAAAGCUCUGUCAAGUGGGAAAAAAAUUCUUUGAUGAACAGUCAAAGGACUUGAUGGUACCACUGGAGGAAGCACCGGCUAACUCCGUGCCAGCAGCCGCGGUAAUACGGAGGGUGCAAGCGUUGUUCGGAAUUACUGGGCGUAAAGAGCGUGUAGGCGGUUUGACAAGUCAGAUGUGAAAGCCCCGGGCUCAACCCGGGAAGUGCAUUUGAACUGGUUCACUAGAGUAUGGGAGAGGAGAUUGGAAUUCCUGGUGUAGAGGUGAAAUUCGUAGAUAUCAGGAGGAACACCCGUGGCGAAGGCGAUUCUCUGGACCAAUACUGACGCUGAGACGCGAAAGCGUGGGGAGCAAACAGGAUUAGAUACCCCGGUAGUC